UGGGGAAUAUUGCACAAUGGGCGCAAGCCUGAUGCAGCCAUGCCGCGUGUGUGAAGAAGGCCUUCGGGUUGUAAAGCACUUUCAGCGAGGAGGAAGGGUUCAGUGUUAAUAGCACUGUUCAUUGACGUUACUCGCAGAAGAAGCACCGGCUAACUCCGUGCCAGCAGCCGCGGUAAUACGGAGGGUGCAAGCGUUAAUCGGAAUUACUGGGCGUAAAGCGCACGCAGGCGGUUUGUUAAGUCAGAUGUGAAAUCCCCGCGCUUAACGUGGGAACUGCAUUUGAAGCUGGCAAGCUAGAGUCUUGUAGAGGGGGGUAGAAUUCCGAGGUGUAGCG
rnacentral:rRNA from 1 species